ensembl:misc_RNA Y_RNA Y RNA
GGCUGGUCUGAGUGCAGAGGUAUUUACAACCAGUUGAUCACAACCACUUACACAAUUCCUUUGUUCCUUCUCCACUCCCACUGCUUCACUUGACUAGCCUUAA